GGGUAUAGCUCAGUGGUAGAGCACAUGCUUAGCAUGCACGAGGUCCUAGGUUCAAUCCCCAGUACCUCCA
rnacentral:tRNA from 1 species